GGACACACAGAAGUCACCAUCUAUAAGAAACAGGCUCCCACCAGACACUGAGUCUGCUGGAGCCUUGAUCUUGAAUUUCCCAACCUCCAGAACUGUGGCCACCAGACUUUCUCUGCUUGUAUCCUCCCAGGACCACAGAACUCAUCGCAUCCCAAGGCAGCCUAUUCCAUCAUGGAUGAGCUCAAAGUGUUUGAAAGUUCUGCUUUAUCAAAACUCUUGAUGGCCUGCUUCCCAUCCUCCAUCCUGGAAGACUGAUCUGAAACCCCAGGAGGAGGUCCUCUGAGCCCUGAGGCAGAGAUCUCUCACCUGGAAGAUGGGUCUAAUGACUGCGCCCCACACACACCAGAGAGGACUGCAGAUAGUGCGGGAUGAGAGGAAGAUCUCUGGCCCUGGAGACAGCAUCAUCAAGCGAAAACGUAUGAGGAAGAAAAUAGCAGAUGAGAAGAAUCAACCAAAUUCCGGAAGCUGGAAGGCAGAUGCAAGAAGGCCCUUGAAUGAUGCCAGCACCUUGAUAUUGGACUUUCCAGCCUCCAGAACCAUGAGCCAAUACAUUUCUGUUCCAUAAAAAUUACCCAGUUCCAGGUAUUCUGCUAUAGCAGCACAAAAUGGACUAAAACAAUGUUGGCACAAGACUCAGUGCUGGGCCUGGCAUGCAACAGGUCCUUGGAGUGGCGUGCUGUGUGGAUAAUGAAUAUUGGGGAAGGCAUCUCUCUCCAGCCCCUCUCAAGCUUUCUGUAGUCACUGGUCCACUCUGUAUUGCUAUGAAGAAGCUCAAGACCAGCCUGUAUCACUCGGGGUCCUGGCAGGAACCAGGUGCCACACUCAAACUGAGUAAUUGAAGAGGGUUUAAUAUGGGAGUUAUUUACAUAGGUGUGGGCUGGUGUAGCUGCCCAUAUGCCCUCAAAAUCACCUCUACAUGGCAAUAGCUACUUACUGCUAACAGAGUCUCUCUCUCAUUGCUGCAAAUAUUUUCUAGCCAUGCAAGAAACUCAGCCGGUCAUGUUGAACAAACUAAGAGUGCCAGGAAGUUAAUGUCCUGGAAGCAUUGCCAGAGGGGAGGGGGCAGUUAGAUUCCCCAGCUUCCUCGCUCCUCUGCUGGGUUAAGCCUGCAACAUAUUCAUCAUCUCCCAGAGUGCUGCCCAGGGAUAGAGCUCCAGGUGCUCAGUGUGGUGACCUGCUCAUGUCAGCUUCUUCCCCUUUCCUGUCUUGUUUCGCACCCACAUCCUUCCCAUGUUUCCUCUUCCCAAAUAAACUACUUGCAUUGAAA
rnacentral:lncRNA from 1 species